GUGCCAGCCGCCGCGGUAAUACGAAGGGGGCUAGCGUUGUUCGGAUUUACUGGGCGUAAAGCGCGCGUAGGCGGGUCACUAAGUCAGGGGUGAAAUCCCGAGGCUUAACCUCGGAACUGCCUUUGAUACUGGUGACCUGGAGAUCGGGAGAGGUUGGUGGAAUUCCGAGUGUAGAGGUGAAAUUCGUAGAUAUUCGGAGGAACACCAGAAGCGAAGGCGGCCAACUGGCCCGAUACUGACGCUGAGGCGCGAAAGCGUGGGGAGCAAACAGGAUUAGAAACCCCCGUAGUCC
rnacentral:rRNA from 1 species